AUUGAACGCUGGCGGCAGGCCUAACACAUGCAAGUCGGGCGGAUGAAGGGAGCUUGCUCCUGGAUUCAGCGGCGGACGGGUGAGUAAUGCCUAGGAAUCUGCCUGGUAGUGGGGGAUAACGUCCGGAAACGGGCGCUAAUACCGCAUACGUCCUGAGGGAGAAAGUGGGGGAUCUUCGGACCUCACGCUAUCAGAUGAGCCUAGGUCGGAUUAGCUAGUUGGUGGGGUAAAGGCCUACCAAGGCGACGAUCCGUAACUGGUCUGAGAGGAUGAUCAGUCACACUGGAACUGAGACACGGUCCAGACUCCUACGGGAGGCAGCAGUGGGGAAUAUUGGACAAUGGGCGAAGGCCUGAUCCAGCCAUGCCGCGUGUGUGAAGAAGGUCUUCGGAUUGUAAAGCACUUUAAGUUGGGAGGAAGGGCAGUAAGUUAAUACCUUGCUGUUUUGACGUUACCAACAGAAUAAGCACCGGCUAACUUCGUG
rnacentral:rRNA from 1 species